AGAGUUUGAUCCUGGCUCAGGAUGAACGCUGGCGGCGUGCCUAACACAUUCAAGUCGAACGGAGAUAAGGCUUCGGUUUUAUCUUAGUGGCGGACGGGUGAGUAACGCGUGAGCAAUCUGCCUUUGGGUGGGGGAUAACACCGGGAAACCGAUGCUAAUACCGCAUAAAGCAGGGACUUUGCAUGGAGACCCUGCCAAAGAUUUAUCGCCCUUAGAUGAGCUCGCGUCCGAUUAGACAGUUGGCGGGGUAACGGCCCACCAAAUCUACGAUCAGUAGCCGACCUGAGAGGGUGAUCGGCCACAUUGGGACUGAGACACGGCCCAAACUCCUACGGGAGGCAGCAGUGGGGAAUAUUGGACAAUGGGGGAAACCCUGAUCCAGCGACGCCGCGUGAGUGAAGAAGUAUUUCGGUAUGUAAAGCUCUUUAAGCAGGAAAGAAAAUGACGGUACCUGCAGAAUAAGCCCCGGCUAACUACGUGCCAGCAGCCGCGGUAAUACGUAGGGGGCAAGCGUUAUCCGGAUUUACUGGGUGUAAAGGGAGCGUAGACGGCAAUGCAAGUCUGAAGUGAAAGCCCGUGGCUUAACUGCGGGACUGCUUUGGAAACUGCAUGGCUAGAGUGUCGGAGAGGUGAGUGGAAUUCCCAGUGUAGCGGUGAAAUGCGUAGAUAUUGGGAGGAACACCGGAGGCGAAGGCGGCUCACUGGACGAUCACUGACGUUGAGGCUCGAAAGCGUGGGGAGCAAACAGGAUUAGAUACCCUGGUAGUCCACGCCCUAAACGAUGAAUACUAGAUGUUGGGACCUUAAAGGUUUCAGUGUCGCAGCAAACGCAAUAAGUAUUCCACCUGGGGAGUACGUUCGCAAGAAUGAAACUCAAAGGAAUUGACGG
rnacentral:rRNA from 1 species